GAUGAACGCUAGCUACAGGCUUAACACAUGCAAGUCGAGGGGCAGCAUGGUCUUAUCUUGCUAAGGCCGAUGGCGACCGGCGCACGGGUGAGUAACACGUAUCCAACCUGCCGUCUACUCUUGGACAGCCUUCUGAAAGGAAGAUUAAUACAAGAUGGCAUCAUGAGUCCGCAUGUUCACAUGAUUAAAGGUAUUCCGGUAGACGAUGGGGAUGCGUUCCAUUAGAUAGUAGGCGGGGUAACGGCCCACCUAGUCUUCGAUGGAUAGGGGUUCUGAGAGGAAGGUCCCCCACAUUGGAACUGAGACACGGUCCAAACUCCUACGGGAGGCAGCAGUGAGGAAUAUUGGUCAAUGGGCGAGAGCCUGAACCAGCCAAGUAGCGUGAAGGAUGACUGCCCUAUGGGUUGUAAACUUCUUUUAUAAAGGAAUAAAGUCGGGUAUGGAUACCCGUUUGCAUGUACUUUAUGAAUAAGGAUCGGCUAACUCCGUGCCAGCAGCCGCGGUAAUACGGAGGAUCCGAGCGUUAUCCGGAUUUAUUGGGUUUAAAGGGAGCGUAGAUGGAUGUUUAAGUCAGUUGUGAAAGUUUGCGGCUCAACCGUAAAAUUGCAGUUGAUACUGGAUAUCUUGAGUGCAGUUGAGGUAGGCGGAAUUCGUGGUGUAGCGGUGAAAUGCUUAGAUAUCACGAAGAACUCCGAUUGCGAAGGCAGCCUGCUAAGCUGCAACUGACAUUGAGGCUCGAAAGUGUGGGUAUCAAACAGGAUUAGAUACCCUGGUAGUCCACACGGUAAACGAUGAAUACUCGCUGUUUGCGAUAUACAGCAAGCGGCCAAGCGAAAGCGUUAAGUAUUCCACCUGGGGAGUACGCCGGCAACGGUGAAACUCAAAGGAAUUGACGGGGGCCCGCACAAGCGGAGGAACAUGUGGUUUAAUUCGAUGAUACGCGAGGAACCUUACCCGGGCUUAAAUUGCAGAUGAAUUACGGUGAAAGCCGUAAGCCGCAAGGCAUCUGUGAAGGUGCUGCAUGGUUGUCGUCAGCUCGUGCCGUGAGGUGUCGGCUUAAGUGCCAUAACGAGCGAACCCUUGUUGUCAGUUACUAACAGGUUCCGCUGAGGACUCUGACAAGACUGCCAUCGUAAGAUGUGAGGAAGGUGGGGAUGACGUCAAAUCAGCACGGCCCUUACGUCCGGGGCUACACACGUGUUACAAUGGGGGGUACAGAGGGCCGCUACCACGCGAGUGGAUGCCAAUCCCAAAAACCUCUCUCAGUUCGGACUGGAGUCUGCAACCCGACUCCACGAAGCUGGAUUCGCUAGUAAUCGCGCAUCAGCCACGGCGCGGUGAAUACGUUCCCGGGCCUUGCACA
rnacentral:rRNA from 1 species